GGGCACGUGGCCGAGUGGCUGAAGGCGCUCCCCUGCUAAGGGAGUAUACGGUGUUGAGCCGUAUCGAGGGUUCGAAUCCCUCCGUGCCCGCCA
rnacentral:tRNA from 1 species